rnacentral:rRNA from 1 species
GUGGGGAAUAUUGGACAAUGGGCGAAAGCCUGAUCCAGCCAUGCCGCGUGUGUGAAGAAGGUCUUCGGAUUGUAAAGCACUUUAAGUUGGGAGGAAGGGCAGUAAGUUAAUACCUUGCUGUUUUGACGUUACCGACAGAAUAAGCACCGGCUAACUUCGUGCCAGCAGCCGCGGUAAUACGAAGGGUGCAAGAGUUAAUCGGAAUUACUGGGCGUAAAGCGCGCGUAGGUGGUUUUGUAAGUUGGAGGUGAAAUCCCCGGGCUCAAACUGGGAACUGCCUCCAAAACUGCAUGACUAGAGUGCGGUAGAGGGUAGUGGAAUUUCCUGUGUAGCGGUGAAAUGCGUAGAUAUAGGAAGGAACACCAGUGGCGAAGGCGACUACCUGGACUGAUACUGACACUGAGGUGCGAAAGCGUGGGGAGCAAACAGGAUUAGAUACCCCAGUAGUCC